CUCUUAGUAGGUUAUGGGAGGCUCACUAUUACCAAGCCCACCUCAGAAUUAUAUCAUGUUGGCUAGCGUUAAUGAUAAUGAGAGAGUACGCUUACUCAUUUGCAACUAAUGCAAGUACCCAUCUUAUUUGGCCUCUAGAGAAUGAUUGCCUCAGAAUUAUAUCAUGUUGGCUCCAUUGCACUUAGUUAAGUCAUUCCCACCAUGCUUAGUUCAUGUAGGGGUUCAAGCAUAGCCUCAGAAUUAUAUCAUGUUGGCUAAACUCGUUGCCUACACUCACCUCAUCAUAUGCGUAUAGACUCCUCCUGAGUAUAAGCAUGCACUUUGUACUUCCCCAUUAUAGGGUGAAGGCGGUGUACAAGUCAUAAACGAUUGGAGCCUAUCACGGUGGAAGGCCACGAAAGAGUGUUCAAAGCACUCUCACGCUUUCAACUUAAUAUUGGGUUGGUUGAGGGUUUUAGGUCUCAUCACAUUUCAAUAUACAUUUUAAUCUCUAUUAAAACAAUUUUGGUCCUAUUACAACUAUUGGUCCAUAUGAUUGUUUUAGUUGUACAUAAUACUCCCACUAUGCUUUUAAAACGGUUUUUAAAGCAAGAGUAUAUGUUACUACUAACAUAAGGUUUGCAUUCAUUUGAUGGACUAUAUAGUUGCCUUAGGGCCUUAGGAUGACUAUGAACCUUUGUUUAGAUUCAACACGAGCCUUGUGUUGAAUCUCGGUCUAGGGAUGGAGAUUGAUUUUAGUUACGCGUUUAAUCACAUUAAGGCUUGUUGUCUUAGGGGCGUUGGACCCAAUUACUUCAUUUUCAUGCAUAUCAUAUAAAGCAAGAAAGAAAUACUUCAAAGUAAAGAAUGAGCUUAUGCUCAUUACAACAUUUGCAUAAAACAAAUUACCUUAAAGUAAAGAAGGACUUAUGCCCUUUUACAACAUUUGAUCAAAUCAAAUUACAACCAAAAUCUAAUCUACACAUUCCCAUGGUUCAAACAAAUUUGAAACGCCUUUCACAUAGCUCAAUUAUAUUAGGCUUAGGUUCAUAAUCAUCCUUUAAUUAAUUAACGCUUUAACUAAUUAAUUGAAUGCAACAUUUUCAUUUGGUUUUUGUAUCCAUAAAAUUGAUUUAAGUGGAGCUAAACAAAAUGAAAAUCCAAUUCUCAUUUAAAGAGACAAAACAAUUUUGUUCUCAUCCUAUUUGGGCCAUCAUGCAAUAACCACAACUUUUUGGGCCAUAUUGCGAAAAACAUAAACUUUUGGGGUCACUUUGUAAAAACACAAAAGUCACUACUUCAUGUAAAUACAACUAGAACCCAAAAUUUAAAUAAAUUCAAAAAACUUCAUUAAAGGAGCAAAACAAUUUGUCCUUUAGCGUUUUUAGGC
rnacentral:lncRNA from 1 species